GACACAUGUUUACAUCAGGAGCCCUGGUGGGGCAAGAGCCAGGUACUACUUCAAUAGGAAGAACAGGUACUCCAUCGAUGUUCAGGUUGUCUGUGAUUAUGCUGGGAAAAUAACUAGUAUCGUUGCAAGGUGGCCUGGACUGGUAGCAGCCACGAUGCCAGGAUCUUUUCUGAGUGUGCACUGAAUUGACAGCUUGAUGCUAGGGCAUAUGAAUAACAGUUGAUUCUUGGAGAUAGACUAUAGGGUAUCCAUGCCUUCUCUGCCUCAUCAGAAGCCAUUUCUUCAUUCAGAGGGUCGACCACAGAUGUGCUUUAAAGGCCAUCUGUACUAGUUCAGCCAAAGAGGAUUAGACAACCCAGCAAGGUCACUGACGGGAGGCUAUCUCAUCAAUUCAGUUCUCAAU